UGGCUGAGUGGUAAAGCGCUUUGGCUCCUGAACAGGGGGUCCCAGGUUCAAAUCCUGG
rnacentral:tRNA from 1 species